rnacentral:lncRNA from 1 species
CCUGUAAAAACUGCCUCGUAUCCUAUGAACUUUUCACUUUCUUCACAAAAAAAAUCUCACUAAUGGCAGGCAAAGCAAAAGCUCCCAUCGUCGGCCACUGUGGACUGAUAGAGUUCGUCCCGUAUUCUGGCGGGGUGAGUUCAAACAAGAGGGGAAGAAACGAAUCCUGCGAACUGGAAAAUACUACGAAAACUGUCGUCAAAGACUACGGAGGAGGGGUUUCAACAAAGUUCUCACAGAAGCAGAAGGCCGGAGACUUUUACCAUAAAAGCAACGGAAACUAUGGGUUCAAAGAAGAGGUUAAGUAUGAAUCCAGCGUCAAGUUUGAUGACAAGAUUCAAGGUUCCAGCACUGAGUACCAGACCCAAGUCAAGUUCAAGAAAGUCACUACCUAUGCCAACAAAGUGGCUCCAAAAUCAAGCUAUAAGCGUAUUAAAUAUAAUAAGUAUUAGAAUGAUGUUUUUAAAUAAUAUGUUUACUUCUCGUAUUCUAGCCUAAAUGAGAACUCAUUGCUAUCUGAGUUUUCGAUUAAGUUCUGUUUUCUUGUUGCAAGUUCUAAUCUAGAUGAAAACUCAAUUCAUGUUUUGAGUUUUCUUCUUUUGAAGUAAAUAUAUGUUGGUUUGAACUCAUGUUUAUGAAUAUUUUCUUAGUUGAUGAAUUUGUUCACGUCUUACGAAUUUAAAUCGAUAGAACGCAACCUCCAUUUUUAUAGUGCAGUUGAAAUAUUGUAUUUGAUGUUGAGCGAAGUGCAAGCAAAAGAUAAGAAGAUCUAAAGGCGAUGAGUAAAUGACAGGCAAUGUCAGGUUUGACAGUCUGCUACAUACCACAAUGGUCACUUAACUAUGCUAUUGUUCUUAUGUUGAUCUUUAAAAUGUUGACAAGUUAUUAUUUGAUAAUCGAAAUUUGAAAUGUUAUUUGAUAUCCAUUUAAAUUUAAACAAAAUUAUUCAUCAAAAUUAAUAAUCUUUAUUCAAAUUUAGGUGAGCAAGGAAUAAAAUAUUUAAAGAUUCACAAUUCUAUAGUAAAGUUUGACGACCAUUCUGAUUUAAAACUUCCACGCGUGUUGUUGCCAAAACUGACGAAGUGGGAGCGCCGUAUCACCGGAAUUUACGCUCUUAAAUACGGUUAAUUGUACUAUGGAGGGAAAGGUGAAGGGUUGUAACUGAAAUUGUGACUGGAAAAUAAAAAGAAAAAGGGGUUACAUUUUAGGAUUGGUUUGAUUGUAAAGAUUGAAUUGAAAACAAAUUUCAGGCAAUUGAAUUGUUUAUAAAUUAUUUUUCUGAAAAUUGUAAAUUAUUGUGUUUAAUUGGUAUAAUUUUUUACGUGAAAAAUGUUGAAAUAAAAGUGUUUUUUGCUAUUCGUUUGAUUUUGUUUUAUAUGAAAAUUGUCAAUUAAAGGGAUAUAUUUUACUGGUACUGGGAAUGAAAUUUGUUUUCAUUACCCAAAAAAAAAAAAAUUUCAAGAAAUUCAAAAAAAUCAUCUAUCUUUUGCUGUUCGUUUGACUUUAUUUUACAUGAAAAUUAUCAGUUAAAGGAAAAUAUUUUUUUACAAUAAUUCUUAAAAUUUAUUUCCAUUGCUUAAAAAAAACUAGCCAAAUCUUAGGAUUUUGGAAGAGGGGAGACUUGGGGAAGUGAAAAAAAUAACGAAAUAAAAAAAAAAUAACGAAAUAAACUUACUCUAUAGCACUGGACUCUGAAGUGUGGUGGGCAAAUGGGAAUGGGGAAAAUAAGAGAGAAAUGGACAGGCUCGUUGUCGGCGAGUUGGGUCAGAGUGAAGAUUGAGAGACUGAGAGUGAGAGUUAAGAGGACUUAGUUUAGGGCUUCUUUUAUUUUUUCAUUCCCCCGCCUUCAUUUCUUUUAUUUUUUUUAUUUUUAUUUUUUUGUAUUCGGGUCGAGUUAUAUCAGGUUUUCCAUUUUUUACCCAUAACUCGACUCACAUCGACCCACACCUAUCCAACCCAAGCAUUUAAUGCUGGUUGACAUUUCUCUACGUUGAUUGACAUGAAUAGUGAUAUGGACAAUUUUGAAUUCUUGUGUGAAAAUAAUAUUUCUAACAGGGGUAUUUUCGUCUACAUAAUUCGAAAAUGGACAUUGACAAAAUUGUGGACAUUUUGGCAAAUGACUCGCUGAAAAUGGACAUUACGUGAAAUUUCCUCUAUUUAUUCUAUUAAAUUUUAUAAAUUUCUGAUUUUGAUUGUCAAUAUGGGCAAUUUUAUAAAUUGAAAAAUGACCUCAUACACAAACUAUAGACGCAAUUAAGACUGUGGAUGCAAUAUAUAUGAUGAAGUGUUUGCUCGAUAAAAGUUUUGUUUAUUAGAAAAUUAAUCAAACCUAGUCAUCCAUUAUUUUGUCAUUUCAUUGACCCAUCAAAUAUUAGCAACAUCGUAGUGUCGAAAAACUUUUAUAUAAAAUGUAAAAUGUAUUUUUCUUUAAGCGGCCUAAUAGUCCCAACUUAAAUUAACGCGUGAAGGAGCAUUGGGCUUCCUUUCAGAAGCAUUAAGUGGGCUAGAAAGAUAGCCCAAGUCCAGAGGCUUGUUGUACCACGUCCACUUAACAUCUAUUAAAUAGAAAAUUGACGCAAAUAACACUGUAAUGAAAGCAAUAAUGACUUGUAAGCGAUUUUGUGUGGGUCAGUGGAGGGCCACUUAGUGGGGUCAACCGGACCCAAUAAAUUUUUAAUUUUUCCUGGGUUAAAUUCUCCAAUGACCACUCAACUUUAUACUUAGUUUUACUAUGUCACCCAUUUUGAUUUGUUUCACUAUAACCACCUAACUUUAUUUCUGAUGUCAACAUGGCCACAUAGUUUGAUUUUAUUUCAUUAUGACCACCCAAUCUUAUAUAAAGUCUGUUUGGUUUGAAUUAAAAUUUAUUUUUAAUUUAAAUCAAAGUCAAAUAAUUAAUAUUAACUAUAUCUUUUAUAAGUCCCACAAUUUUUUAACCGCACAUUUUUAAACUUCUAUCAUAAUAUAUUAAAAAAAAAAGUAAUUUUCAUCCAUAUCAAACAUCCUCACAACGUUUCACUCUGACCACCCAAUUUCAUAUCAUGUUUUACCAUGACCAUCCAACUUCCUUUCAUCAUAUUUCACUAAUUUAAAACGAGCAAAACGGUAGCUUUGCACUAUAUAUAAAAUAAAAUAAAAACCUAUUUCAAAAGACUUUAUUUAAAAAUGUAAAAUAAAAUAAAAAAAUAUUUUUAAAAAUUUAUUUAAAAAAAUAAAAAUUUAUUUUAAUAAAAAAGUUCCUUAAAAAAUAAAAUAAAAACUUAUUUUUAAAAACUGGUUUUUAAAAUAAAAACUUAUUUUAAAAAAGUUACAUGGAAAAAUAAUAUAAAAUAAAAAAUUAUUUAAAAAUUAUUUUGAAAAUAGAAAAAAAAACUUUUAUUUUUUUAAAAAUUUAUUUUAUAUAUAUAAUGCAAAAUUACCAUUUUAUCUCAUUUAAAAUAGUAAAAAUGAUAAAAAGAAAUUGGGUGACCAUGAUGAAACGUUAUAUAAAA